rnacentral:rRNA from 1 species
AUGCUUGCAUCGAAGAUGAUUUUAACUAUAAAGUGAGUGGCGAACGGGUGAGUAACACGUGGGUAACCUGCCCAGAAGUGGGGGAUAACACCUGGAAACAGAUGCUAAUACCGCAUAACAAAAUUAACCGCAUGGUUGAUUUUUAAAAGAUGGCUUCGGCUAUCACUUCUGGAUGGACCCGCGGCGUAUUAGCUAGUUGGUGAGAUAAAGGCUCACCAAGGCAGUGAUACGUAGCCGACCUGAGAGGGUAAUCGGCCACAUUGGGACUGAGACACGGCCCAGACUCCUACGGGAGGCAGCAGUAGGGAAUCUUCCACAAUGGACGCAAGUCUGAUGGAGCAACGCCGCGUGAGUGAUGAAGGCUUUCGGGUCGUAAAACUCUGUUGUUGGAGAAGAACGUGUGUGAGAGUAACUGCUCAUGCAGUGACGGUAUCCAACCAGAAAGCCACGGCUAACUACGUGCCAGCAGCCGCGGUAAUACGUAGGUGGCAAGCGUUAUCCGGAUUUAUUGGGCGUAAAGCGAGCGCAGGCGGUCUUUUAAGUCUAAUGUGAAAGCCUUCGGCUUAACCGAAGAAGUGCAUGGAAACUGGGAGACUUGAGUGCAGAAGAGGAGAGUGGAACUCCAUGUGUAGCGGUGAAAUGCGUAGAUAUAUGGAAGAACACCAGUGGCGAAGGCGGCUCUCUGGUCUGCAACUGACGCUGAGGCUCGAAAGCAUGGGUAGCGAACAGGAUUAGAUACCCUGGUAGUCCAUGCCGUAAACGAUGAAUGCUAAGUGUUGGAGGGUUUCCGCCCUUCAGUGCUGCAGCUAACGCAUUAAGCAUUCCGCCUGGGGAGUACGACCGCAAGGUUGAAACUCAAAAGAAUUGACGGGGGCCCGCACAAGCGGUGGAGCAUGUGGUUUAAUUCGAAGCUACGCGAAGAACCUUACCAGGUCUUGACAUCUUCUGCUAACCUAAGAGAUUAGGCGUUCCCUUCGGGGACGGAAUGACAGGUGGUGCAUGGUUGUCGUCAGCUCGUGUCGUGAGAUGUUGGGUUAAGUCCCGCAACGAGCGCAACCCUUAUUAUUAGUUGCCAGCAUUAAGUUGGGCACUCUAGUGAGACUGCCGGUGACAAACCGGAGGAAGGUGGGGACGACGUCAAAUCAUCAUGCCCCUUAUGACCUGGGCUACACACGUGCUACAAUGGACGGUACAACGAGUUGCGAGACCGCGAGGUUUAGCUAAUCUCUUAAAACCGUUCUCAGUUCGGACUGCAGGCUGCAACUCGCCUGCACGAAGUUGGAAUCGCUAGUAAUCGCGGAUCAGCAUGCCGCGGUGAAUACGUUCCCGGGCCUUGUACACACCGCCCGUCACA